UUCUCAGCUUAAACAGAAUAUCUAUCCAGCACUUGAAACUAUUUUUUUCAUCAAAUUAGCAUGAAGUUUUAUACUUUACAGAAGUUUCAUUCAUUACUGUGCAGUCAAGUACUUGGAUUUAUUCUGAACAUGAAUUGAAAUUGAUCAAGAACCAGAUUUCAGAUUGUGGUAAUGAAUGUGAAAACAGAUGAAUUAAAGUGUAUAGCUACAACCUGCUGAAAGAUGUUUUGCUGAUACAUGUGAUAUGGGAUAUUUGGAACUAAAAUUGUUUUUGUAAAAAUAUCAUUAUUUGAAUGGAAUUAUUUCAAACAAGUGUAUUAAAAUCUGUGAUGACAGUUUGUAAAUCUGAUUCAUCCAGUUCAACUAAAUUAAUGCUAAGAUUCUCAAAUUCAAGAAAAAUGUCAUUAAAUGUCAUAUUAUCAGAGUCAGUGUCUGAUUCGGAGUCGUAAAGGUGUUCAACUAGGGUUUUCUCGUUGGGUUGUUGGAUAUUUGCAUCACCUGAAGGUAACAUUGUAGGGCUAUUUGAAUUUAAACAAGACUGUCCACAUUUACAUCCAGGACCACAUGACUUUUUUUGCUUUCUACAUCCACACUGAUUGCCACUACAAUUAGAUUUUAAACACCCACACCCAGCUGUCCAUAAUUUUAUAUUGUUUGAUAUUUUUUCUAAAUUUUCAUCAGAGUCCCAAACAAUGCUUAGUACAUUUUUUUCAAUCUUCCAUCCAUGGUCAUUCAAAAUUGGAUAAUGCACAAAAUUUUGAUUAGCUUGCUGCCAUACAAGUUUAACCCAUCAAGAUCUUUUCCAGUGUAAGAAUAAGGCAUCAUUUGAUGGCAGGAAAAAUUCUUCAGAUGGAACUCGACAGUACAGUGCAUCUCUAAUUUUUGAAAGCCAAAUAAAGUGAUUUUCUAACGGGCUUAAUGUUUCUACAAAAACAGAUUGAAAUAAAUAAUGAGGAGAUUCGAUCCUAUCCUUUAAGAAGGCAGAGGAACAUUUCCUCCAAUAUUCACACCCAACUAAACGUAAAAAAGCAAGAAAUCCUUCAUUUUCUGUGUUAUCACUAUCACUUAAUAUUCCCAACCACCCCUUUACAAAAUUAUUAGAAGUAAUAAAAUCUGGAUAUUUGAAAAACAUCUGAUAGAAAGAAGUUUUACCAUGGUCCCAAAAAAAAGAUACAUAAUCACAUCCAGUAACAAUAUACAACAUCUGAAAAAUUGAUGGUAUAUUGUCAUGAAUGUCGUUUGAAAUGCAUUGUAAAUCUGGAUCAUUUUUCAUGGAAUGAAUAAGCUUAUUCAUGUUUAAAUAUAUGACAUCCUUCUUAAAAGUAAGUUGAACAAAAACCUGUUUGUCUAAAGUUUGUAUAAAUGGUAAACCAAUGUUGUAUGUGUCAUUGUCUGGCGAAUUAAUAAGCACAGUAUCACACAAAGUUUUUUCAGCGUGUAACCAUACUCGACUGUCCCCCUCUGAUAUAUUAGUUUGAAAAUUCUUGAUUAUUCUUAUCUCAUUUUGGACAACACAUUUUGAUAUAGACGAAUUGUCAAAACCACCACCAACUACAAAUGUUUGACUUAAUUUGAUUGCAUUUUGUGAAAGUAAUAAAAACUGUUCACUUAUUAAUAAAACCAGUUGUUUUUUGUUGUU